rnacentral:rRNA from 1 species
AGUGAACGCUGGCGGCAGGCCUAAUACAUGCAAGUCGAACGGCAGCACAGCAGAGCUUGCUCUGUGGGUGGCGAGUGGCGGACGGGUGAGGAAUACGUGGGAAUCUGCCCAGUCGUGGGGGAUAACGUAGGGAAACUUACGCUAAUACCGCAUGCGCCCUUCGGGGAAAGCCGGGGACCUUCGGGCCUGGCGCGAUUGGAUGAGCCCACGUCGGAAUAGCUAGUUGGCGGGGUAAAGGCCCACCAAGGCGACGAUCCGUAGCUGGUCUGAGAGGAUGAUCAGCCACACUGGAACUGAGACACGGUCCAGACUCCUACGGGAGGCAGCAGUAGGGAAUAUUGGACAAUGGGCGCAAGCCUGAUCCAGCCAUGCCGCGUGAGUGAAGAA